AAAGGGAGACCUAAUUCAGGUAGGAGACGAAAAAAAAGUAGUCCCUACCAGGAAUCAAUCCCAAAAGGUCGGAGCGAGGCGAAAUUGGCUUUCAAACUAGGUUCUGGGUUCAAACAAGACCUGAAUCAGGAACAAGGGCUAUUAGCUCAGGUGGUUAGAGCGCACCCCUGAUAAGGGUGAGGUCCCUGGUUCGAGUCCAGGAUGGCCCACCUGCACAGGUGGCAAAAAAAAAGAAGCGAGGAAUCAGCACCUUAUCCUAAUUUAUAUAUAGGAGAGAAUGCUGGCUCUGAGUAAAGAGUCCAGAGGAACCUUGAAAACUGCAUAGAGCUAGGUGAAAAAGCCAAAAAAGAAGACCGCAAG
rnacentral:tRNA from 1 species